rnacentral:lncRNA from 1 species
GUCUGGGGAGAAAUCGAGGAUAAGAUGCAAAGCGCAGCAAAUAGGAGCCACUCUUUCAGAGAUGACAGACCACCUGGUUUCGAGGAGCAGCAGACAGCGUGAAUGAAUGAAGUUGGCCAGUUCUGUGUGUUGACUGGAAUCACCUGGGAAGUUUUAGUCCUGUGAUACCACCUGGAACCACAGACAGAGUGAGGACACAGCAAGAAGAUGAUCAUCUGCAAGCCAAGAAGAGGGGUCUCACCAGAAUCCUAUAAUGCUGGCACCCUGAUAUUUUACUUUCCACCUUCCAUAAAUGUGAG